GGGAUUGCCCUAGUAACGGCGAGUGAAGCGGCAACAGCUCAAAUUUGAAAUCUGGCGCAAGCCCGAGUUGUAAUUUGUAGAGGAUGCUUCUGGGUAGCGACCGGUCUAAGUUCCUUGGAACAGGACGUCAUAGAGGGUGAGAAUCCCGUAUGUGACCGGCCCGCACCCUUGACGUAGCUCCUUCGACGAGUCGAGUUGUUUGGGAAUGCAGCUCUAAAUGGGAGGUAAAUUUCUUCUAAAGCUAAAUACCGGCCAGAGACCGAUAGCGCACAAGUAGAGUGAUCGAAAGAUGAAAAGUACUUUGGAAAGAGAGUUAAAAAGCACGUGAAAUUGUUGAAAGGGAAGCGCCUGCAAUCAGACUUCGCGGCAGUGUUCCGCCGGCCUUCUGGCCGGUUCAUUCUCUGUCGCGAGGCCAUCAUCGUCUCGGCCCGCUGGAUAAGACCUUGGGAAUGUAGCUCGCCUUCGGGGGAGUGUUAUAGCUCAUGGUGAUGCAGCGAGGCUGGGGCGAGGUCCGCGCUUCGGCAAGGAUGAUGGCGUAAUAGUUGUCGGCGGCCCGUCUUGAAACACGGACCAAGGAGUCUAACAUCUAUGCGAGUGUUCGGGUGUCAAACCCCUACGCGUAAUGAAAGUGAACGGAGGUGGGAACCGCAAGGUGCACCAUCGACCGAUCCUGAUGUCCUCGGAUGGAUUUGAGUAAGAGCAUAGCUGUUGGGACCCGAAAGAUGGUGAACUAUGCCUGAAUAGGGUGAAGCCAGAGGAAACUCUGGUGGAGGCUCGCAGCGGUUCUGACGUGCAAAUCGAUCGUCAAAUUUGGGUAUAGGGGCG
rnacentral:rRNA from 1 species